ensembl:miRNA
GCGUGCCUCGUGUUGAGGUAGUAGGUUGUAUGGUUGAGAAUAACACCAUCAGGAGAUAACUAUACAGCCUCCUAGCUUUCCCUGAGGCAUCGCCA